rnacentral:rRNA from 1 species
UUCCGGUUGAUCCCGCCAGAGGUCACUGCUAUCGGUGUCCGAUUAAGCCAUGCGAGUCGAGAGGUGUAAGACCUCGGCAGACUGCUCAGUAACACGUGGAUAACCUGCCCAAGGGUCCGGGAUAACCCCGGGAAACUGGGGAUAAUACCGGAUGGGUCACCAGUGCUGGAAUGCUUGGUGGUCGAAAGGUGACGCCUUUGGAUGGGUCUGCGGCGGAUUAGGUUGACGCCGGUGUAACGUACCGGCGUGCCUGUAAUCCGUACGGGUUGUGGGAGCAAGAGCCCGGAGAUGGAUUCUGAGACACGAAUCCAGGCCCUACGGGGCGCAGCAGGCGCGAAAACUCUACAAUGCAGGCAACUGCGAUAGGGGGACAUCGAGUGGCAUCCACCUUGGGUGUCUGUCCAACCGUCUAAAAAACGGUUGUUAGCAAGGGCCGGGCAAGACCGGUGCCAGCCGCCGCGGUAAUACCGGCGGCUCGAGUGGUGGCCGAUAUUAUUGAGUCUAAAGGGUCCGUAGCCGGCUUUGCAAGUCCCCUGGGAAAUCCGGCGGCUUAACCGUUGGGCUUUCAUGGGAUACUACAUUGCUUGGGACUGGGAGAGGUAGGAGCUACUCGGGGGGUAGGGGUGAAAUCCUGUAAUCCUCUGGGGACCGCCGGUGGCGAAGGCGUCCUACCAGAACAGGUCCGACGGUGAGGGACGAAAGCUAGGGGCACGAACCGGAUUAGAUACCCGGGUAGUCCUAGCCGUAAACGAUGCCCGCUAGGUGUCACGACGGUCGUGAAUCGUCGUGGUGCCGUAGGGAAGCCGCGAAGCGGGCCACUUGGGAAGUACGGCCGCAAGGCUGAAACUUAAAGGAAUUGGCGGGA